rnacentral:rRNA from 1 species
GUCCAGCCGCGCGUAACACCGGCAGCUCAAGUGGUGGCCAUUUUUAUUGGGCCUAAAGCGUUCGUAGCCGGCUUGAUAAGUCUCUGGUGAAAUCCCAUAGCUUAACUGUGGGAAUUGCUGGAGAUACUAUUAGGCUUGAGGCCGGGAGAGGUUAGGGGUACUCCCAGGGUAGGGGUGAAAUCCUAUAAUCCUGGGAGGACCACCUGUGGCGAAGGCGCCUAACUGGAACGGACCUGACGGCGAGUAACGAAAGCCAGGGGCGCGAACCGGAUUAGAUACCCGGGGAGGCCUGGCCGUAAACGAUGCGGACUUGGUGUUGGAAUGGCUUCGAGCUGCUCCAGUGCCGAAGGGAAGCUGUUAAGUCCGCCGCCUGGGAAGUACGGUCGCAAGACUGAAACUCAAAGGAAUUGGCGG